rnacentral:rRNA from 1 species
GUGGGGAAUAUUGGACAAUGGGCGAAAGCCUGAUCCAGCCAUGCCGCGUGUGUGAAGAAGGUCUUCGGAUUGUAAAGCACUUUAAGUUGGGAGGAAGGGCAGUAAGUUAAUACCUUGCUGUUUUGACGUUACCGACAGAAUAAGCACCGGCUAACUUCGUGCCAGCAGCCGCGGUAAUACGAAGGGUGCAAGCGUUAAUCGGAAUUACUGGGCGUAAAGCGCGCGUAAGUGGUUUUGUAAGUUGGAGGUGAAAUCCCCGGGCUCAACCUGGGAACUGCCUCCAAAACUGCAUGACUAGAGUACGGUAGAGGGUAGUGGAAUUUCCUGUGUAGCGGUGAAAUGCGUAGAUAUAGGAAGGAACACCAGUGGCGAAGGCGACUACCUGGACUGAUACUGACACUGAGGUGCGAAAGCGUGGGGAGCAAACAGGAUUAGAUACCCCGGUAGUCC